rnacentral:rRNA from 1 species
AAUGAACGCUGGCGGCGCGCCUAAUACAUGCAAGUCGAGCGAGAAGACGUAGCAAUACGUUUGUAAAGCGGCGAACGGGUGAAGAAUACAUGGGUAACCUACCCUCGAGUGGGGAAUAACUAGCCGAAAGGUUAGCUAAUACCGCGUACGCUUCUUGGACUUCGGUUCAGGGAGGAAAGCGAUACCGUGGGUAUCGCGCUCUUGGAUGGGCUCAUGUCCUAUCAGCUUGUUGGUGAGGUAACGGCUCACCAAGGCUUCGACGGUAGCUGGUCUGAGAGGACGAUCAGCCACACUGGCACUGCGACACGGGCCAGACUCCUACGGGAGGCAGCAGUAAGGAAUAUUGCGCAAUGGGCGAAAGCCUGACGCAGCGACGCCGCGUGGGGGA